rnacentral:rRNA from 1 species
CAGUCACCACGGGAAUACGUAGGGUGCAAGCGUUAAUCGGAAUUACUGGGCGUAAAGCGUGCGCAGGCGGUUAUAUAAGACAGAUGUGAAAUCCCCGGGCUCAACCUGGGAACUGCAUUUGUGACUGUAUAGCUAGAGUACGGCAGAGGGGGAUGGAAUUCCGCGUGUAGCAGUGAAAUGCGUAGAUAUGCGGAGGAACACCGAUGGCGAAGGCAAUCCCCUGGGCCUGUACUGACGCUCAUGCACGAAAGCGUGGGGAGCAAACAGGAUUAGAUACCCCUGUAGUCCCUGUCUCUUAUAU